rnacentral:rRNA from 1 species
GAACGCUGGCGGCGUGCUUAACACAUGCAAGUCGAGCGGAAAGGCCCUUCGGGGUACUCGAGCGGCGAACGGGUGAGUAACACGUGAGUAACCUGCCCCUGACUCUGGGAUAAGCCUGGGAAACCGGGUCUAAUACCGGAUACGACCAUUUCUCGCAUGUGAUGGUGGUGGAAAGUUUUUUCGGUUGGGGAUGGGCUCGCGGCCUAUCAGCUUGUUGGUGGGGUGAUGGCCUACCAAGGCGACGACGGGUAGCCGGCCUGAGAGGGCGACCGGCCACACUGGGACUGAGACACGGCCCAGACUCCUACGNGAGGCAGCAGUGGGGAAUAUUGCGCAAUGGGCGGAAGCCUGACGCAGCGACGCCGCGUGGGGGAUGACGGCCUUCGGGUUGUAAACCUCUUUCAGCAGGGACGAAGUUGACGUGUACCUGUAGAAGAAGCGCCGGCUAACUACGUGCCAGCAGCCGCGGUAAUACGUAGGGCGCAAGCGUUGUCCGGAAUUAUUGGGCGUAAAGAGCUCGUAGGUGGCUU